GCUGAACUCCAGCACAGCCAGUUUAACUGACACCCCCAGUACACAGGGUCAGUAGCUGAGAGAGGAUUUAACUACACCCUAAUAACCAAACUGAACCAAACCUCAUCAGGAGUACAGCAGGAAGCAACAGAAGCUGCCAUAUUGCUUUUGGGAAAGUCAGCUGUGGACUGUAGGUAUGGGGGUGAAUGGUCGAGUGGAGAGUAGGUAUGGGGGUGAAUGGUCGAGUGGAGAGUAGGUAUGGGGGUGAAUGGUCGAGUGGAGAGUAGGUAUGGGGGUGAAUGGUCGAGUGGAGAGUAGGUAUGGGGGUGAAUGGUCGAGUGGAGAGUAGGUAUGGGGGUGAA